UCUAAGCACAAGCCUAAGAAUGGUAAAGCCGCGAAUGGCUCAUUACAACAGCCAUAGUUUACUGGAUCUUACUUUCCUACUUGGAUAACUGUGGUAAUUCUAGAGCUAAUACACGCAUGAAAGCUCUGACCGUUCGGGAGGAGCGCAUUUAUUAGAACAAAACCAAUCGGGCCUUCGGGCCCGCCAAUUGGUGAAUCUGAAUAACUUUGCAGAUCGCACGGUCUCGUACCGGCGACGUAUCUUUCAAAUGUCUGCCUUAUCAACUUUAGAUGGUAGUUUACACGCCUACCAUGGUUGUAACGGGUAACGGAGAAUAAGGGUUCGACUCCGGAGAGGGAGCCUGAGAAAUGGCUACCACA
rnacentral:rRNA from 1 species